rnacentral:piRNA from 1 species
UAUGUUCGAUUUUUUAUUUCA